UCGCUCAGCGACUCCUCUGCGGCUCUGCUCGACCAAGACACCCAGCCGUCGCGGCAUCUCCGUUCCUCGCGGCUUCGCCGGUCGCCGGCCGGAGCCCGGAGUUCAGCCGUCCAGGAGAUGCCCGCCUCCCCUCUUCCCGGCUUCCUGCCCGGCCGCCCGGUCCAGCCGCGCCCCUGCCCUGCGCGCGGCUGCGCCCCUGCGGACUGCGGUCCCGGCGUCCCGCAUCCUCUUUCUGGCGCCCCGCCGGCCCGGCCGCCCCCCUUCAAAGCCCCACCACGGCGGCAAACCCCUGGCCGAUUUAAGAAUUAGUGAAGAAUGAAGAGGGCCGGAGACAUUGUUUCUCUUUUUCAAAGAGAAGCUAUUAAGAUAGGGAAGAAGAAGAAGGCAGGGACUAUGCCGGAUGUGGCCGAAGAGCAAACCCGAGAAUUUUUGUGUAUGCAUGUUUUGAUUGAAGAGCAAACUAGAUGGUUGAUAGUCUUUUGGAUGAUUGCCUAGUCACGUACAUUGAGAGGGACGUUUUCUCCCAGAUGAAUGAAGAUGAUAUAAUUGAUACCUUCGUGGCAAUGCAAGAGCGUAGGCCAGAAAAAUAGUCUUUUUGAACUCGUCAAGGUAUGUACUAUGGUCUAGGUAGUAUUUACUAUGUAGGCUUCUUUAUGCAAAAUUAGAAUUUAAUUGAGAAUUUUAGAGUGUUCAUAAGACCAUAUUGCUUUAUGAUAUUGAUAAUUAGCUAGCACGUUCAUAUAACAUAUUGCUUAUGAAAAAAAAAUUGGGGGGCGGACCACCCUGGUGUCAAAUGCUAGCUCCACCACUGCCUCCGGGACUGCUGCAAUGGCCACCUCCUCCUCUCCGGAUCCGACGGUUCACUGUGCAUCUAUGACCCGCUCUCCGAGCGGCGUGUGCCCAUCGGCCCGCGCACGCAUCUUGACCAGCGCUGGAAGUGCCUCGGCGACUGCUUGCUUGACGGCCUUGCCCGCCAUAUGGUCUCCGUGGAGCAACACGGCCAACAGAAGCAUGCCGAGGAGUCCUUGCAGUGGCAGAGCAAUUCCAGAUUCAAUGUAUGAGCCGUUGAGUAUAACUCCGGCACGCUUGAGUGGCGCGUCCACCCACCCACAGACUGGGUGGACGAAGGUUCAGUUGACGAAAUUGCAAUUGAAGGCAAUGUAUGCAGCCGGCCACAUAUUCUGGGAAACUGAUGUCGCCAGAUUGCUGGUGCUUGACACGAGCACCAUGGAGUCCUCAGAGCACGGUGUCCCAUGGGAGAUAGUCUCUACCAGUUGGGCCAUCGGAGAGCUCCGAGACGGCAAGGGCUGCCUCGUGUGCCUCCAAGGCCUCAAUAGCUCCUUCGGCAAAGAUGGCCUCAUAGUGGAGGAACCUCUCCGCCUGGAAGUCUGGGCACUAAAGAAGGAGGAGGAGGAUAAGCAAGGUAAAUUUUGUUGCAAGUGCGAGAAGGGUGUCCGGGUGAGCGAGAUGCUCCCGGAGGACGCUCGCUCGUGUGUGUAGAGUCCACAAGAUCAUCAACGUCUAAUGAAGACAAAGUGUUCAGAUUCCUAGCAAGAACAUGGAUGGCCGCGAAGGCGCCUCUUCUGGUGGAUCGGAAUCUGCAUCUCUCCAAAGUCAACUUCAGGUGGAAUCCCCUAAUGUCAGUGGAUCUAGUGGUAUUGAGGAUGCGUCAUGUGAUGAUGAUAACCAGCGUGCAUUGGCGUCUCUGGGUAUUGGAGAUGCAGUACACACAGAUGCAACAACAGCGGCAGCCAUCAAUGCCGUAGAUUCUCAUGCCAACGAAGAAGCAACUGGUGGCUGGGCAUCUGACGGAAGAACAAAGCUAACUACAACUCUUGAGAAAGUAGCACAAGAAGUACACAUCAGCCAGACUCCUUUGAGUUCAGAGCAACAUGAUAUUGGUGAGAAAUCAAGUCAAGAUCUGCAUGGUGGUAGUGCUAGGAUUCAGCCAAUGGAAAAGGACCCGUGUCAUGAUGAACUGACUCUGCAAACGGCUGGUGUUUUCCCUUCUGAAAGCUGUGACGGGGAUAUUCUAGAAGAUAAAUCUGAAACCGACAACCUGACAAAGAAUACUAGAGAAGAUACUGAAAUGUUGGAGCAACAGAAUAGUGAUAAGGCUAACAUACAAGUCAGUUGCGCCAACAAAAUGAGUGAAGUGCUCUAUGAUGAUAAUAACACCUUGGGGAAGAAUACAAUCUGUGGUGGGAAGGUUACUGUAGAGUGCCACUUGGCCUUGUUACACAAUAAAAGUUCAGAAGCUAGGAGUAACGCCAUUUCAUCUCCAAUGCAGAAGAGGCCCUUUGCGUGCCAGAGCCAUGUAAAUGGUUGCACCAUGAGCUAUGACAGUAAGAACAAUUUAGCCAAGCCUUUUAGGGAAGUCCAUGAGCCGAAGAAACGUUUCGCACGGAGAUUCGCUGGGUGUCGCGAGGAGUUUUCUUCAAAGAAUGAAAGGAAGAUUCAUGAGGGAUCUAGUGCUCACGUCGAGGUCAACACAAAGCAGCCAUCCCAUACCACAUAGUUUACCUCCUGUACCCAUGCCUUUCUCUUUCAGAAGUUUAUCAGACACACACCAACCGCUUGCCAUUUUGUAGCUUUCCACCAAUAGGAUUAAUUGUGUCAGCACCUCUCCUGCCGGUGGACCAGAAGCCCAUGAAGAGCCCAGGCCCACACAAGUGGUGGGCCUUCGCACAAGCAACUGACCACGUAAACCGAACAAGCUAGUAAGUGGAGACGACUGGGUCAUUUGAUAAGGACGGUUUAAGAAGCUCACAGUGCCAGGAGGAAAGUCAUCGAAGAUCAAUCACGGAUCAUAGUUUAUCUAGGCUCUCAACCCUAAUUAAGCCCCCCAAUUCUUGAUUCUUCUAUUCCGCACAAUUGUGCUUGUAUAAGCUUGUAACCUGAAUCCAGCGUAUUUCCUGAACCCUGUCUAGUGAAUUCAGUGAGUGAACUAGAGCCCAGUUAACAAAAUGCCACUUCAAGGACUGCAGCACGACAUUUACAACGAGACAUAAAUGUACCAAGCAUUACAAGGAACAACAUGAGCAGGGGAGAAGAAAGGACAUAUAUAUCAACAGAGAGCCUUACACAUAUGCGCUGGAGACACAGCAUUGCAGUCUGCACAAGUCUGAAUCUUCUGUGCUUGUGCAGUAUUUUUUGCACAUGUUCUCUGGAUACAGUUGCAGCAGUGUUAAGGGUGAGUUUUUGUGUGUGUGUGUGUGUGUGUGUAACCUGGCAUAAAUUAUGAUGUGUAGUGGUUAUGUUUAGAGCAUGGCUCUAAUUCUUCUUCUAGAUGCAGAUUCUGUUCACUGUGCUGUGUUUUUGCACAAACCACAAACUGAAGCAGAUCGAUGUUCAGAGUUGAUAUGGCCCCUUUCCUGAACAAAAUUAACUUUUUUGUUGAGGGAAACUAAACCUUUAUUUAAACAAAGUUCUCAGAGAUUUCUUGUGUGCGGCCCCAGUUUUUUUUUCUUUUCAGUUUCCCAUGUCCUGAAACUUCCAGAACCGCCCAGCAUUUUGCAUAUCUCCAACAAGUUUACAAGCCUGAUUAGUUUUAAUUUUGGAAUAUGUCCGCAAGCCUGAUUAGUUUAAUUUUGUAGCUUUCGUCCUCUCCCACUAAUCCGAUAAUUUGCUAGACUAUUUCUUGUACUAGGUUCUGAUGUAACAUGAACUGAUUUCUUUUGGAUCCUGUAGAUUCUGCAGGCAUUUCAAUAUCUUAAGACAGGUUAGCAUCACAAGUUGUUGCCUGUACUGUAGUGAAACAACAUUUAAUGAUCUAGGCACUGCAUAAUUGUUAUACAUUCAUAUUGCAAGCUCCCAUAUCUUAGAACAGCUGCAGGAUGUCAAGGACAAGGAUGUGGCUCUGCCACUGAAGAAGCCUAGCAGCAACCGGAGCUUGACUGGUUCGAGAAAUUUGGCGCCAGUCCACGUCGAGUUGGCUACAUCAUAACACGGCACCGCAAAGAUGUUCAGUUGACUGUUGCAGGUGUAAUAUGUCAGGUUCUUGGUAAGGGUGACCAGUGAAGAGUAAGUAUGCAUAAUCUUUGGUUACAUUCGCAGCUUCUAGCCUCUGGGCCAUGCACAGGUUGUAUCGAUCCAGUUACAGGAGUGUAUGUGGUGGUCGUUUUGUAUAUGGCUGGAAUUAUAUGAAGUAGUAUGCUGAGUUUAACACUGUAGCGUUGCUUAAUUACAUCAAGUUGGUAUUAUCAUCGUGGAUUGUAGCAUCGAUCAAUGUUCAGAAUUAAUAUGGUUCUGCUACUAGUGUUCAUUGACUGUCA